UCAGUGCUUCAGCAGCGGCGCACAGAGACUGCAGUGAACUCCUCUAUCUAACGGGAAAAGUUCCUCUCUCAUGAAAGACUGAAAAGAAAAAUACACAUAAACUAACAAAAACAAAGCGAAACCCGCGUCGGGGCGGUGCAUGCGAACAGGAGAGACACCAUACAAGACCGCCGUACUCCAUGGCUGGAGAAAUCAUCUUUCAUUUUGCACUGUGUCCGCUCUCAGACGGAGAUCAAAACAAAAAAAAACUUCUUAAAAAAAGUUUUUGACACUUUAUCAGCGGAUUGAGAAUGCGUGUGGCAACCAGGCUCCUGAGCGCAAACCCGCGGGCGACACGCUUCCUAAUUUCGUGUGGGGAUGUUAGCUUUUCUGUUUUACACCGUGACUUCCUGGUGAUAUAUCCCAAAAUGACGAGUCAUGCGUCUUUUUAUAACUCUUCUUUCAAGAUAGCGCCAAGUCAGCUCCAGCAGUGCAGGAAAUCACCGGGAAGCUGCUGAAGGGCUCAAACAUUUUAAAUCUGGCAUUUCUGCUUUUCAUCUGGAGAAUACAGUCUACGAUCCAGUCAAACUGUUGGUACUUGCCCGAGUAAAUUAUCAGGCUACACAGCCUUUCCUUAACUAAAGCCAAAACAGAAAUUGUGACAGAUCUGUUUCGGUGUUUUAAAUUAAUCUGGACUCAGCAUUGAUAAAGCACUCAAAGAAAAAAUACUUUUAGUCAAAGAAAGGAGUUUUAACCAAAUAAAACGUUUGACAGGGAACAGCUAACUCCUGACCGGCAGUAACUGAUAAGCAGGUGGCGGGUUCGUCACAUGGACAAAGCCAAUUCUGGCAGCCAGAUUGAUAAGGAGAAACACAGCGAAAGAAGCUGAACUUGUGUCGAGCGCCUGUUCAGAAGCAGUCUCCAGAUUUCUCAAAAAUUGGAGCGAGUCACUUUCAGAGCCCAGUUUGGGGAGGGUGUCGGGUAACAUUUAAGUAUAACAUGAACCCAGUAGAAAUGGGAAGAACACUUGAAUUUUCCUUAGCCUAUUGACGUGUGGCUGUGGUUUCGAGUUAAGUAACCCUGUUAUACACAGCUUGGCUUUUUGCACUUUUAUUCCUGGUCUGCCCACACACAAAAAAAUCAAAACUGUGAACUUUUGAGAACUUUUUCUUUCCUGCCUCUUUUCUCCUAACCACCCUCCUCCAUACCGUGAAAGAUUGUCAAAGACUCGAAUGAUCGACAAUCAUGGGAGGUGACUUCAGCCCACACUCACAGAAUGCAAUGAAAAUAAACGACAACAAAAACGAAACAAAAUACAACGAGACUCUAGCGAAAAUUGAACGUGCACUUUUCAGAAAACUUGCUUUUGCGGCAUCCUCGCCUCAGCCGGAAGCAGAGACUUUCUUUCUAUUAAGGAGAUAAAAAAAGUCUAGCGGGAGUAACUAGUCAAGUAUUGUUACGUUUCCUUGUUCAGACGAGCUGAACUGAAUGCAGUUGCACUUUGUGAAUGUAGAUAGUGGUCAAUCAAGUGGACAUUAAAUAUCGCGAACGAUGGCUCUUAGUGUUUUCCUCCUGGAAUGUAGGUUGUUUGAAAUGACCGGAGCACGUGGGAGUACAACAGUCCUCGCUCUGAAGGCAUAUGUUGUGGAUUUAAAAUAUAUGUUAUAUAUAUAGGAACACUUUGAAUGAACGACCCUCCUCAGAAUCCGAUGUCCCAGACGUUGGAAAGUAACACACUCGCGGUGAACCGAGAAGUGAACAAGACAGUAGGCAUUGUGCAUUCAUACUGUACUCGAUCAAGUCAGUGUAACUCCAGAAGGUUCAUUGCCGUUCCGAGGACUCCACAUGACAGACCUGGGCUACAUCAGUUUGAAAAUCAAUUUAUCUUUUUUAAUAUGUGAAUGGAAUGUCAAUAAUGUCUUAAUAAGAAAACAAGGAAUAGGCAAAGUGAUUACAAGAAUUAACAGCAUUGAAAAUCCAGCUGGAUAGUACUGCAAAUGGAUUCUAUAGAAACUAAGAUAACAAAAUGUGAGGCUGGAUGAACACAGCAGGCCAAGCAGCAUCUCAGGCUUUCCAGUCACCAGUGACCUGUGCCUGAGAUGGAAACACUGCGCUGUUAACAGAGAUUGAAAAAACUGGGCUAACUGCGUUCUCUGGAGUUUGGAAGAAUGACAGGUGAUCACAGUGAAACCUACAAGAUACUUAAAUAAGCUGACAGGGUAGAUGCAGGAAUCUGAUGGACUCGAAAGCAUCGGCACAAAUCAACAUGGACUGGGAAAUUAUGAGUCUGCUACCAACACCUGACACGGCAAAUUGUCAAAGCUCUCAACAAACCAAUCAUCAACCGUGGGACAAAGGAGGAAUUUGCCCAUUACAAAAUCUAAUCUCAGAGAUUAGUGAGUGUGGCAUAUGUUGUUUUUACACAAAUUUACUUCUUGAUUCAGUGGUAUAGAAAAACUAAAAGAAAAGAUUGUCAAAACUAAGGGGUAGAUUUUAACAUUGGUGUUGUCCUUAAAACCGAGUGAUUAUGUCCCAAACUAACUUGCUGCCUCCCAGCACAGAAUGAUGGCUGACUGGUUAGCACUAUUGCCACACAGUGUCAGGAACCUGGUUCACUUCUAGCCUUGGGCGACUGUCUGUGUGGUGUUUGCUCUUUCUCCCCGUAUCUGUGUGGGCUCCCAUCGCCCACAGCCCAAAGAUAUGCAGGCUGGGUGGAUUGACCAUGGUAAAUAAUAUUUAAGGAAAUGGGAUAAGCAGUGGUGCCCCAUUCAGGCUCCUCCUACCUGGCAAUCUGCCUCACCAAGACCUGACUUCCAUGUCGAUAAGCUCCAACCUUCUGAAUGCAACAAGGUAUCCAACAGUAGUAUUGUCCUGCUAGUAUAUAUUGCAGGUCAGUAGUUUAAUAAUUAAAAUCUACCCCAGAGUUGAUUAUAUCACUCCCCUUUUGUUUUUGCUUUUAAUAAUGCAUUCCACGCCUGAAACAGAAAUAUAUUGGUGCAGUCAUCGAAUCAUGUCCAACUGUGUAUGCAAAUUUUAAACUUGGGUUUGACUGUUGCUCAAUGUGACAGGUUUAACUGUAAAUGUUAUACUAUAAUUAUAUUGUAACAUGCUGGCUAUUCCUUUUAUAAUUUUUUUUACACAAUUGUACAAUCCUUGCCAGUAUUUCUGCAGUCUUACAGAUGUGAUUUUUCUACUCUCAGUAGACUGUAAUUAUAAAAAAUGUGAUAUGAUGCUUUUUGUAUCUGCAGCAUCAAUGGAAACAUUAUAUUUCUGUAGGUUUGGAGAUUGCUGUGUACAGAAUGGCUAGUUUGUAAUAAUCAAAGAUUGCAGUAAAAAUAUUCAAAGAUAAAGAAUGAUAUUUUAAAUAUCCUAGGCAUGACACCUGAAAAUUACUAGUCAGGCCGAAGUUUUUAAAGAUGUAUUUAGUCCUUUGUCCGUUUAAAAUUCUGUCAUUUCAGUCAUUCCACUAAACAUAUAUUUUAAAGGCAAGUUUGUCCCUUCAUUUUCACCAUAUUCACUAUUGAGAUGUCAGCAUCGAUGGUAAGAUUAGCAUUCACCGCCUAACCUUAACUGCCCCUGUGAAGGUUACGGUGAGCUAUCCUCCUGAAUUGCUAAACUCGGUUUGGUGCAGACACAUCACAGAUUAGUUAGGAAACAUUGUGACCCAGUUCCAGUAAACGAAAAGUGAUACACUUCCAAUGAUGUGAAAUAGAAUUCCCAUGUGUUACCUGCACUUGCACUUCCUGAUGAUUGAUGAUAGAGUUUACAGCAAUAGAAGGUUCUGACAGGGCCCCCUUACCAAGUUGCUGUAGAUCAUCUCAUAGAUGGUACACUCUGUUGCUUUGGUGUGUAAGACACCUGAAGGUGGUGGGCUGUGGAAACUUACCAGAGGAACUCCACAUUUUUUCCUGGGCUAAAGUGAUUGGCCUCCAACAAUUGUAUUAGAUAAGAUUCUAACCAGUGAGGAGCUUUUCACACUAUUGCCCACUAACUUCAGCGUUGCUGGGGCUCGUUGAUACCACAGUCUGAGUAAAGCUGUCUUGAUGUCUAGGGGAGAAACUCUCAUCGGAUUUCUGGAAUUCAACUCUUGUGUUCAGCUAUGGGUCAAGGUCAUUAUGAGGUCUAUAGAGAUACCAACACAGAACCUAGUUAUUCACCAAAAAAUAAGAGAACUACUGAAAUAUUUUAGACUUAGAUUUAGAUUUUAGAUUCCCUACAGUGUGGAAACAGGCUCUUCGGCCCAACAAGUCCACACAACCCCUUGAAGCAUCCCACCCAGACCCAUCCCCCUAUAACCACAUCCCUGAACACUACGGGCAAUUUAGCUCGGCCUAUCCACCUAGCCUGCACACCUUUGGACUGUAGGAGGAAACCGGAGCACCCGGAGGAAACCCACGCAGACACGGGGAGGAUGUGCAAACUCCACACAGACAGUUACCCGAGGCUGGAAUCAAACCCAGGUCCCUGGCACUGUGAGGCUGCAGUGCUAACCACUGAGCCACUGUGCCACCCUAAUAUUUUGACUGCGAGCCAAGCCAUUUCCUGAUUUUACAUUCCUGAUGCCAUGGAGCUGUCACACUACAUGUUAUUUUCAUCUAUAUAAUAUGUAGAGAGUAUGGUUUGGGCCUGCCACCUCUGGAUUGAUUGGCUCUAAUGCAUACUGGAUAAAAAGUCUGCUUUGGUUGACUGUCACUUUAUACUAGCCUUGUGUGUAGUUCUUUGGCUGCGCCCCCAGUACCUCCAUGUAUCCCUUCCAUGAUCCUUUAUAUCCACUGUUCUUUUAUUUCAGCCAAGCAGUCAUGUGGCCAUUUAUAAAGCAGAAAACUGGCCAUUUGUUUGCACUGUGUCUUAGGAUACUGUUGUCUCAUAGAACAGUACAGACACGAAUGGGCCCUCUGGCCUACGAUGUUGUGUCGAACAUGACACAAAAUUAAACUAAUCCCUUCUGCCUGCCCUUGAUCUAUAUCUGCCCAUUUGUUGCAUAGUCUUGUGCUUAUCUAAAAGUCCCUUAAACGCCCCUAUUGUAACUGCAUCUUGUCCAAUGAUCUUGUUAUGAAUGCUUGACUCUAUUCAAAGAAUAACUGAUCGACUAAUCUCAGAUUUCUUUAUGCCCUUUCAAGGAGAGUGCUAAUUUUGUAUGAUUGAUAUCUUCAUGGUUGUGUAAUAAGUUUGUAUUUCUUUGGUAUAGCUUUUCAUUGCUUAUUUUCUGAUUUGGACAAGAAUGAGAUGUGCAGACAGGAUUGAAUCUUUUGCCUUUGCUACAAUGAAUGAUUGCAACUGAUUGACACUUUACGGAGUUGUGAAUUUGAGGUUUGUUCAGGGACACUGUCAAAGUGUGUUUUUUUUUGUAUCAAUAUUAGGAACAUUUCAAAGACUUGCCAAUGGCUCGUUGUUUCCUUACAUAGUGGGUAUAAGAAGGAUGGAUACAGAGGAAACAUGGACAUAGAUGGCUAGUGGGUGUGGAGGUGAUGUGAAUGUACUUGAGGAAAUAUGAGGAAGCAUGGGUGGCACAUGAGGGUUUAUGAGGGAGGAUGGUGAAUGUGAGGGGACACAGUUAAGCCUCUUUGAACUUAUCUGUCAAAAUGAUCCGAACUCCUCAGCAAGCUGUCUCCCGAGUUUUAUGACUUGACGUACCUGGUGUGCUUUCCACAAGUUUCUAGAACGAGCAUGACAAAAAUAGCAUGGGCCCAUGAAAUUUAUUUUUCCAUGUUGUUUUUGGGGCUAAGAUGAUUGGCUUCUGACAAUUGUAUUAGAUUAGACUCUAACCAGUGAAGAGCUUUUCACACUGUUGCCCACUAAUUCAGUGUCGCUGGGGUUUCUUGAUACCACACUCUGAAUAAAGCUGCCUUGAUGUCGAGGGGAGAAACUCUUGUCGCGUUCCUUGAGUGAAACUGUUUUGUCAAGCUUUGAGUCAAGGUCGAAUUGAGGCCUUUGUGAUGGUGAAUCUCACUUCACCUGAUGUGUUUCCUGACCUGGCGAAUGCUGGGAACAGAGCCAUGUGAUUGAAACCCCUGCCCAACGAUCUCAUGUGACCCAUACCAAACCAACCUACUGCCAAAGCUGAAAAUUGGAAAUAAAAAUGAGAAAGGGUUAGCAAAUCUCAGCACAUCAGUUGGCAUCUAUGGAGAGAGAAUAGGUUAAUGUUUCAGAUGGAUAACCUAUCAUCAGAAGGGAAGAGAACAAGAGAUUUAAGAGAUUUUUAUAAACCAGUGAAAGAACAGAGGAAGCAAAUGACUCAAUUCUGGUUAGGUUUUAGAGUGGGAUGUCUAGCCAGUUAACAUUGGUUUCAAACUGAAAUGUAGAUAUUGGUUGUAAAUUUUCUGUCCCAGCUUAAAAGCAGGACAGGGAGAAAACUUGCAACAUCACUUUAGUGAUCCAGCACACUGGGAAUAUUUGUCUCCUGUGAACGUAAAAUUUCUAAGACAGCAAGAUCUGGCCAAAAUCUCUCAAAUGGUCAUUUUUCUUUCCACAGAGACUCAUUUCUUGAGGUCCCUACUUGACACAAUUAACUGUCAAACUAACACAAAAAAAGACAGGUUCAACAAAGAGUUUUUUUAGAACAAGCCAAUUUUUAAACAAUUCAGAGGCAUGCUAAACUUUCCUUUCCCUUUAAUGCUGCAUCCUGAACAGUAUUAAUCUCUCCAGCAUGUGAAAUUUACAGCACACUUCUACCUGUUAAAUGUAAAUUCUAACCAGCCAGUUAUUUUUCACUUACAGUUAAUCAUCUUGCCAAUGCAAAUAUUCAUAGUUUAAGUUAUUCAUCCCUCAUAUUACUGCAAUGUGUUUCUGCUACAGUAAUAUAAACCAUUAGCAUUAUGGUCAAUUAAUUCUACAUUUCUCAGAAGUGCUUUGCAGUGUUCCAAAAAGAAUGUUCCAAGCACAGACUUUAGAUUUGGUGUAUAACCAACUUCCCUGUAUUUCACUAUUUUAAACGUGUGGUUACAAUUUAUGAAACCACGUUGAGCUUUUACUGUUUUUCAGUCUGUUCAAAAUACUGCCUGCUAUCAUCAAUAUUAAACAUGCCAAAGGUUAUAAACAGGUUGAUCAGUAAAAUAUCACAGUAAGCCAGUAAUAAAUGAAUCUGCUGGAUAUCUCACAUACUGUGAGCAGUUUAAACUACAAAAGAAACUAUGUGCAUUGUUCAUUGAUAAAGCUUCAGCCACAACCAAUUUAAAGUUGCAUGAGGAGAGUAGAAUGCAUCUAUAACAGCAUGAUCUCCCCUCUCGCUGAGCUGAAAUUACUCAAUAUAGUUAAUUCCACGAGGACAGCUUGGUUGACGGGUUUUGCAAGUACACUUCAUUUCCAAAGAUUUACUGAGCAUAAAAUUGUCCCAUUGAACCUUUAUGAUAAAAAUUAAAAUGCUUAAGGGGCAUAUUUUAAGUUUAAAAGUGUUUCUUUACACUGGGUGGAGGAACAUUGCAACUGGUGUGAGCAAUGCAAAUGACAGAAGCCACAAAACUGGAGGUGCUGCGUAUACUUAGUAGGUCUGGCAGCAUCUGUGGAGAGGCAGAGUUUGGAGUCCAGUGCACUUAAUUUGAUGGCCUUGCAUUGGUGCCUAAAUGUGUUUGAAUGGAGUAGCACACAAUGGCUGGUUUAACGUUUUCCCAGCAGCAGGUCAGAAGGAAUGUCCAUCUCUGCCUCCACCACACCUCUACCUGCAAGGGGCAGGUAAGGUCAGGCAGCCUCCCUUUCAAUGGGCCUGUUGACAAACUGGGAGCUAAUGCGUGGCAGAGAGAGGUCCACAACAAGAAGGCAGUCAAGUAAGUUACCCUAGCGAAAACUGAUAGCAUGAGGUGGGAGUGCAGCCCCCUCUUCAUGGACCUCCUGGCCUCGUCACGGAGGGCACUUCCCAAAACAUAAUACCCUUUUCUCCACACUGCCUAGCUUUCCAACUACAAUGGUGCUUUGACCCAGGCACCAUGCACACUAUCUCCUCACCACUGUCACCGUUCCCCCCCCUGCCAAAAACUGACCUCUCCUGAGGAAUUCGUAUGACAUCAGCUAUGUCACUGCAGCUCCACAGAAACCCAACAGCCUCUGUUUGCCUGAGAACUGUUUCUAAACAUGUCAGACUUGCUGCUCCUGGGGAAGGGAAGUGAGUGCAGAAGUCUGAUGUAUGCCUUAAGGGUUUACCACUCUUCCCCUGAUGAAGAACUGCAAGUGCUGUGUCAUUUGUCCACUGCAUCCUAGCAUUUUAGCCUGGGACGUGUGGUCUCAGAUGUCUUAUUAAAUCCACCCCCAAAUAUAAUGUAAAGGUACCCUAAAAUUCCUUUUUGCCCCAUAACGUGGACAAAGCAGUCUGUACCAUUUGUUGCAUUUGCUACUUGACACAUGUCAGACCAGUAAUCAAAUUGGCAUACCAUAUGUGACAAGUCAAGCAGAUGUUUUAUCUGCCUAUGCACAUAGCACAAGAACGGAGAGGGCUUUAAAAGUGGAUUGACAAAUACUGAUGGGAGAAAUACUCUUACUGCAGCAAAUUAUUCAAGUGGUUGUUAAAAAGCUUACCACAGGAUAAUUUAAACCUUGAAUGGUAAAUACUAGCAAUUUAUCAGAAUGCAUGCGUUAAUGUAAUACACAAAGCAGGCACUAAAUGUUCUAUUUCAGCUCGUUUUAUAAUGACAAUAUUUUUGUUUCAGCAUUGCUUUCCUUCUCAGUGAUCUCUUUUUCAGUUUAAUUUCACUCCUUUUCACAACUGUUCAAGAAAUGAUAAAUAAUCUGACAGAGCACUUUCGUAAUUGAAGUAUGUGAGCAGUAGAUUUAAGGAAGAAAAUUUUCUAUCAAAGUUUUACCAUUAAAACAAGCAAAUACCAAAGUCACUUUUUUAAAAUGAUGUUUAUUCAGAAAGCUUUACAUAUAAAUUUGCAAUGUGCAAAGUCAAAUGAUUAUAUAUGUAAAAACUGAUUCAAGAAAAGUAGCGUAGUCAAAAGGUAAUAUAUUUUUUUUCACAAAUGUAGGUAAACGUAUUACCUGGUUUACAUGGAAAAUGCAAAAUUACAUUCAGGGUUGCCUGGUUAUAUAAUGUCAGAGGUACUGGCAGUGUACAGAAAGAAUAAUAGUUAUUUGAACUUAAUCGCAGGAAACAGACUUAUCAUACAAAAUUGAAAAUCAGCUGCAUAUAAUUAGCAAUUAAUUAUUCUGUAUAUUCACGACUAUGUAAAAUAUCUGUAGUGUAUAACUGUAUGGAAAGAUUUGAAUGUAUUUGAGGGUGGUCUAGACAGUGUUUGAUUUGCUGCAAAAUUAUGUUAAUACUGGAUCACCCCUACUGUUCCUACAUUUUGAAUAUUCAUUUGCCUUUGUGUGUUUGAAAAAGACAUUUCUUUUACUGCCUAAUUCAUUAAACUGUCCUUUUUAUCUGUGUUUCACAUGAUUCCUGAGAUGUAGUUUUACAUUGCAUGAUGCAAUUUAUUUUACACUUUCCUUGCCUGCCGAAAUAUGUAAAUACGUCAAAUAUUUAUUUAUUUGGGUGCUAAUGUAAGUGGGCAUUUGGAACCCUCUUAUUUUGUAAAAUAAAUCUCUAUGUUCAUAAGCAUUGAAAUCAGCAAUAUUACAAAAGUUGUAUAAAAGGGAAAAUGUGCAAUAAAAGC